GAAAUUUCAAAUUUGAAACAAAUUAAAACUUUCAACACAAAAAUUAAUGGCUAAGGUCUCAUUUCAUCAGCUGUAGAGAGAGAGAGAGAGAAGGUAAUGAUGUGAGAGUUGAAGAAGAAUUAAAGUGUAUAAAGCAAAGGGAAUCAAAGAAGAAGAAAAAUAGUACUAGACUGAUAACUUGUGUUUAUAUCAACAAUUGAAAAGCAAGAAGAGAGAGAGAGAGAGAGAGAGAGCAAAGUAGCUGCAGCAUCAGAGAUAUUUCAACAGCCUGUCUUCGACAUCCAACCAUUCCAACACAGAAUCUCCCCAAAAUUUUCACUGACUCGGGUGACAAAUCAUGUCUAAACAUAAAUUAGGAUAACAAAUUCACCACACUCAGCAAACAUAUAAGAAAAAAAGCAUAUCAAACAACCAAACUUCGUCGCUGACUAUGGGUAGAACGACACCGGCACCCCCUUACUACACUGUACUCCAUGCCUUGCUCGAAUAUAGAGACUUAUUCAGACAUCUUCCACGUUUUAUAUCAUCAUCGUAUAACACCAGUUUAGUUUAGAGAAAAGAUGCAUCACCUGCGCUCGCGCUACUCUUUCAGGCUUUCAUACUGCAAUCGGCUCGUGCACCAAACUAUCUUGUUCUUGUGAUUCCAGAGCAGGUUCGUUAUCACUCUCGUUUGGCACAGCAGCAGUCCCGGCCUCCAGUUUCUGUGCAGGUGCAGCUUCACUCGUUUCCUUUGGUACGUCGUUCAGGCCACGUCUGGACUCUGCUGCUUCUUUUGAAGCCGUGGUCUUGUGAGAUGUAGCCUUCUUCUUUUCCCCGGAUAAGGUGGUGUUCUCGGAGGGUAACUUGGGAAGAGAUUUUCGCAGUGGCUUCUUAACAUGGGCAACAGGAGGUGGCGUUUUUGCGACAUUACCUUUUGAGAAUUUCUCAUCCAAGCUCAGCCUACUUGGACGAGCAAUGGGGGCAUCAUUUUCUUCAGAUUCCGCAGUAGAUGAAGUCUUCUUUCGACCAAGCUUGGGAGAUUUGGCUCUUGUAGUAGGU